AAAGCGCCUGUAGGUUGUUUAAUAAGUCUGUUGUUAAAGACUAGGGCUUAACCCUAGAAAAGCAAUGGAAACUACUAGACUAGAGUAUGGCAGGGGUAGAGGGAAUUUCUAGUGUAGCGGUGAAAUGCGUAGAUAUUAGAAAGAACACCGGCGGCGAAAGCGCUCUACUGGACCAUUACUGACACUCAGAGGCGAAAGCUAGGGUAGCAAAAGGGAUUAGAUACCCCUGUAGUCCUAGCCGUAAACGAUGGAUACUACAUGUUGUGCAUUACGUACAGUAUGGUAGCUAACGCGUUAAGUAUCCCGCCUGGGGAGUACGCUCGCAAGGGUGAAACUCAAAGGAAUUGACGGGGGCCCGCACAAGCGGUGGAGCAUGUGGUUUAAUUCGAUGCAACGCGAAGAACCUUACCAGGACUUGACAUACUACAAAUUCUUUUGAGAAARAGAAGUGCCUUCGGGAAUGUAGAUACAGGUGGUGCAUGGCUGUCGUCAGCUCGUGUCGUGAGAUGUUGGGUUAAGUCCCGCAACGAGCGCAACCCUUAUUUUUAGUUACCAAUUCGUUGGGUUCUCUAGAAAGACUGCCGGUGACAAACCGGAGGAAGGUGAGGAUGACGUCAAGUCAGCAUGCCCCUUAUGUCCUGGGCUACACACGUGCUACA
rnacentral:rRNA from 1 species